CUUUUCCUCGGGGCGCAGCAGUAGGGAAUCUUCCACAAUGGGCGAAAGCCUGAUGGAGCAACGCCGCGUGGGUGAAGAAGGUCUUCGGAUCGUAAAACCCUGUUGUUAGAGAAGAAAGUGCGUGAGAGUAACUGUUCACGUUUCGACGGUAUCUAACCAGAAAGCCACGGCUAACUACGUGCCAGCAGCCGCGGUAAUACGUAGGUGGCAAGCGUUAUCCGGAUUUAUUGGGCGUAAAGAGAACGCAGGCGGUCUUUUAAGUCUGAUAUGAAAGCCUUCGGCUUAACCGGAGUAGUGCAUUGGAA
rnacentral:rRNA from 1 species